rnacentral:rRNA from 1 species
UACGUAGGCAGCAAGCGUUGUUCGGAGUUACUGGGCGUAAAGGGUGUGUAGGCGGCUUUUUAAGUUUGGUGUGAAAUCUCCCGGCUCAACCGGGAGGGUGCGCCGAAUACUGAGAGGCUAGAGUGCGGGAGAGGAAAGUGGAAUUCCUGGUGUAGCGGUGAAAUGCGUAGAUAUCAGGAGGAACACCGGUGGUGUAGACGGCUUUCUGGACCGUAACUGACGCUGAAACACGAAAGCGUGGGUAGCAAAAGCAUG